rnacentral:lncRNA from 1 species
UAUGACAUGUUUUCUAUUGCAUCCGGGCACAUGUUUUAGUAUGUAUAUCAUGUCUUGAUGUAUGGAUCCUUGCCCCCUGACUUUGAGUUUUGAUACCCUUUUGGUGCAUUUGUUUGACAAGAGGUUUAGGCCUCCUAUCCUUGGUUGCUUUUUGUGAGCUUUUUGUGAACUUUAAUAGCAUGAUUCAUGUGGUUGCUAUGAUUCUUUUGUUUAGUGC